AGUCUGUGACGGUCUGAGGCUCUCGACCUUCUCCUAAUAACACAUGUGAGAAAGCCCAGGACCCCAUGAAACUCUCACCUCGUCUUGUCCACACUAACUGAGGCUCCAGUACUGACCAUUAGAGGGAGCCAGCAUCGACUUCCUUCUUUCCCCUACCUGGAAUAUUCCAAGCCUUUUGUCCUGGGAACCAUGGAGAUAUGGACUUAUGGACACCUGACUGCCUUACCCCCGUGCCCCUCCCAGCAUACCACACAAAUCUUAAGUCAACUGUUAUGUGUUUUCCUCCCAAUCCCCAGCUUAGAGGAGAGUAAGGAUUAAGGUUUCUUUACACAAUGAAAAGAAAAUGAGAGAGUGAGAAAAUCAGACAGUAAACAUACAGGGGUGUGCAGGCUUUUUUAUUGAGAGCUCCCAAACCAAGGCUGAAAAAAGCUCCUCUUCUUUUCUUUUUUAUAAUGCACUUUUUUUAAAAAGCACUUUUUAUUACAGAAAAUUUCAAACACAUACAAAAAUAGACAGAUGAGCACAGAAUUUGUUUUAACUCACUCCCAGGCCUACCACCUCCAAUUCAGGUACUUCUCAAGGUCUGAAAUUUGAGCUUUGAAUCACCAUCUGCAGUGGUCCACUCCAUGUGUUGGUCCUGCGUCCCUUUGAUUUAGAAACUGCUCUGCUACCACUCCUUAUGAUUCUGGAAGGUCUGUCAAUCAAGAUGGCCAGAAAACCUUAACUAUAGGACAAAUCAGAGCCCCUUUUCAAUAUGAACACUGGACAAAAGAGUAUCUUCUUCUGAAAUCAGGAGCUGUAAACUCCACAUAAGCCUGGAGCUGCCAUUCUCCCUACCUUAGAGAGUGAAGCCAACACAGUGGUGUUCAUAGUGGAACUGCUGAAAGAUAGAGAAGGGGUACUUCCUGGUGCCAUGAUCUGAGCACCUGGAUCCAGCUGUGCCUGAUACCCCGAAACUUUUUUAUUCUAAUAGCCAUAUUCCUAGUUUUGCUUGACUUAGUUUGAGUGAGGUUUCUAUUCCUUGUAACAGAAUCUUGAACAUCCCCAGAAAGCCUUCUUUAAAACAACUAGCAUAACUGUCUAUUUUUCCUGUGGGAGUUAGAGAUUAGCCUCCUUAAUUUAACAAAACAGUCUAUAUUCCUUAGGGAAUACAUUUCCUACCAGAGAAGAGUGAAAAUAUGUGAUUUAAGCAUACUUCCUCAAGCAGGAAAGGACAAGCUGUCAGAGAGUGGUCCUGGGUUGAACAGGGAGACUGCACAAAAACUGGGCUUUGGGCCCACGCCUCCUGGGGUACAGCCAUGAAACUAGGCAGGAUAGGGUGGGACCAGGUUCCAGUUUCAGUGACUGAGGGAGGACCCACUUAGGCCUCAAGUGGUACCUGUCACUAAGAGAUAAGCCUCCAAAUGAAAUUAGAGGAGGUGGAUCACAGGCCACCCAGAAACCUGUACUCAGUCACCCUUCCCUACUCUUCCUUCUUCCCCCUCCUCGCCACAGGCCUCCUCUGCACACUGUGGACACAGAGCUCCCUGUGCCAGGCAGUGUGGAAAUGAGCUACAACGGACAGCCCAUGACCCGUGGGAGCCCACAGUCCAGUGAGAGGAGGCAGAGGAACUGACUGGGCUUGAAGGUAGGCGUGGUGUGCCUCCGGAGAACGCUGGCUCCUGACGAGGGACCACGCUGGGAUGGCGGGGCUCUGAAGGGGUAGGUCGCUGCCAGCUAUCCCGCCCUCCCUCAGCUGCGUGCAGACAGGUGUCCUCCACACACCUGGACAAGAACAGUCAGCUUUGCCCUUCUUUCCCCUCAAAUGACAGGUCUCUAGACACAAUGUCAUAACAUCUAUGCCAGAACCUCAGCCUGAUGUGCCCAGAGAUAUCAAAGAAGGAGAAAAAAUAUAAGCUCUUGGUGGUCCCUGUUACUCUGAAGGGAGAGGGCCUCAAUGCCCACCAUGCCCGAUCUACCCCAGGAGGGUGGAGACUGUGUCACUUUGUCUCAGCAUUCUAAUCCCCAGGACACUGCCUGAGAAUGUACAGAAGGAAGAAAGGGAGAGAAGGAGGGAGGAUAAUGAACAAGACAUGGUGCUGGGUACCAGGGGUGCUUAAUCCAAUAGCUGUGGAAGCGCUCACAGCCCACAGAGGAGGUAAUGCCAGGGCAGCUGGAAAAGUGAUGCCCAGCAGAGGUGCCCAGCGUGACCAUGGGAAUGCAGGAUUGUUUCGGAAAGGCUUCCCUGCAAUAGGCUGUGCCCCUGCAGGUGCUGCAGGGGUUCCAGCUUUCGGGGCAGAUGCGGCCAGAGACAGGGACAGCAGGAAGGCACGGGGAUGCAGAUCAGACCCUUACUGGGCGGGAGGCCAGACCCAGAGAUGGCACUCCUGGGUGGAAAGGGCAGACAGCCCCGACUUCUAGAAGACGCUGCAACCUUCAUCCAAGGCGUUUUCACCCCCCAAACCCAUCACUGAGAACCUGUGAUUUCCCCAGAAUUGAUUUCCCCAGAUUCACACUAGCCACAGAACGUCUUUCUAUUCCUAGUUCCAAGAUUGGUGCUGUGGGUCUAUGUGUACAUGAGAGAGACAAUGAUGAGGGAAUCACAAGUCCACUGUGAUUUAGCAGAACCACACAGCUAAAACGGUGGGGCAGGAGCUGCCGUCCUGAGGCCUGCCCUGCAAAAUGGGAUCUGUCUGUCUUUACAAGGGAACUAUGAUAAACGAGCAAAGACAGACACUGGUCAGGAUGAGCCACUUUAUUUAAAAGCUUCGACAGCCCAAAGUGGUUUAACAUAGAUGCACGGAAGAUUUAUCUAGAUGAUAAAAUACCUGAACUUGAAAGACACAUAAAUUAUAAUUCUGCAGUUUUUUUCCUUUUAAGAUUUCACAUAGUCAAGUGCUUUAAGUAAUGCAUGAAAUGCACGUAAAGCUGUCUGGUUAGCGUCUGCAGAGAACCUCUGCUUCCAGAUGGGACAGAGCUCAGAAUCAACGCCACCCAUCUGUGUCUGUGGCCUUCCGUUCCCUCAUCACAGUGGACAGCACUGGGAAGAUUCAUCAGUAUAAUAAUAACAGCAGCAGCUAUUAUUGACUGAGUACUUCCCAGACCUUGCGCUGUGCACUGAGGACGGCACACCACACACUUAUAUACGAGCGUUACUGACUGCUCAUAACAAUCCUACAAAUGAGGGACAAUGAGUCCCAGGUUACAGAUGCAAAAUUGUACUUCAGAGAGCUUCUGUCAUGCAUGUGAGGUCACACAGGCAGCUUCAUCUGACUCCAAAGCUGCAGUGUUCAUCACUAAGCUGCAACAUACAUGAAAAUGCUUGGCCCUUAGCCAGGGCCUAAAAACAUUAGUUCUCUCUCCCUAUCUUCAUACGCCCUUCUUUUUUUUUU